AUUGAACGCUGGCGGCAGGCUUAACACAUGCAAGUCGAACGAGUGGCGCGCGGGUGAGUAAUGCUUGUUACUCUAUCUUGUGGAUGGGGAUAACUACGGGAAACUGUAGCUAAUACCGCGUACCUUGGGCUGCGCCCACGUGGGAUUAUGUAGUUGGUGGGGUAAAGGCUCACAGAGGCGCCGAUCUCUAGCUGGUCUGAGAGGAUGACCAGCCACACUGGGACUGUGACACGGCCCAGACGUCUACGGGAGGCAGCAGUGGGGAAGAUUGCGCAAUGGGGGCAAGCCUUAUGCAGCCAUGCCGCGUGAAUGAAGAAGGCCUUCGGGUUGUAAAGUUCUUUCGGUAGGGAGGCGUUAACUACAGAAGAAGCACCGGCUAACUCCGUGCCAGCAGCCGCGGUAAUUC
rnacentral:rRNA from 1 species